rnacentral:rRNA from 1 species
UACGAAGGGGGCUAGCGUUGCUCGGAAUCACUGGGCGUAAAGGGCGCGUAGGCGGAUCUUUAAGUCGGGUGUGAAAUCCCCGGGCUCAACCUGGGAUUGCAUUCGAAACUGCGAGGCUAGGGUACGGAAGAGGGAAGCGGAAUUUCUGGUGUAGCGGUGAAAUGCGUAGAUAUCAGAAGGAACAUCAGUGGCGAAAGCGGCUUCCUGGUCCAGUACCGACGUCGAGGCACGAAAGCGUGGGGAGCAAACAGG